GGACAAUGAGCAAAUGAAAAAUACAUCAUUUUUAGACCUCAGGAAAUGCAAAAUACCACAAUGUGCUGUCAUUCUUUACUCAGAACAACUCUCAAUGAAAAAAAAAGCCAAACAUAAACUUGCUAAAGGUUGGUAAGAAAUAUAAACACUCUCACAUGGAGAAACAGAGAAAGGAGGGAGGGAGGGAAGGAAGAAAAGGGACAGAGAAAGAGAAACUUGAGAGGCAGAAAUAGGGCAAAUGGAAAAGUGUUUUAUAUAAUUGUGUUCCCCCGCUACCUUAUUUGUUCUCAUGGAAGUCAUCAUAGAGAGGAAAAUCUGUGCUGUGCCUACAAUCUCUGUCUUAGUGAUGAACUGGAAAGAAAAGAAAAAAGAAAUUGGGAAAAACAGGAGAGAUUUGAGAGCUAUGUGUAGUCCUUGCAUUAGAGCCUUAGACGCUGGAGAAAUUGCUUCAUUUCCUGGGGCUCCUGUCUCCUUAAAUGGCACAAUGUGUUUACCUGCCGAUGAGCAGCUGUACCUGGAACCCAGUGGUGAGGAUACUGGAAGGAUUGCAUCAGUUCUGUACCUGACUCAUUGAGAUGGGGUAAUGGUAAAGUUGGAGGUGAGAGGAAAAGAAUCGCAAUUUCUCUUAAGAUUUCCUGUGAAUUAUCCUAGUCUGUGGGCAAAUUCUCAAGAAUGCUGUUUUGAAAAGGGUGACGAUAUUUAGUUAAAAUGUCCUCAGAGGAAGGGGAGGUUAGGCCUGAGAAAAGCGUGCCCAAACCACAGAGCCUGCCGAGUGCAGGCCACAUCACCAGCAACGGCCUUAAUGAGCUCUGGGCUGGACUCUCCCAAUUGAAUUACAUAAUACAUUUCCGUUUCAUUUCAUGAAUCACGACUUGGGAUACAAUGUUCCUGGGUUGCAGUUGAUAUAUUUCAGAGAUUACCAAAGAUUUCAAACAGAAAAAAAGAUCUAUUUUAUUAAACUCAUAUGUAAAAUGUCUGUAUGUCAGCCAACUUAUUUAUUUUCAAAUUUGGGAUUUUUGUAAAUGUCAUCGUUAGACAAUGUCAAGAGAGUUCCCGAUAAACCCAUUAAUGAAUGGUAUGACUGAAGCGGCCCCUGGACAUUUCAUUUCUCUUGACAACCAGGUUCCUGCUUGAUGAUGGUGGCUUUUAUUUCAACUGCUUCUGUUGGGUGAAAGUGAGGAAAAUAUGGCAAACCUCAAAGCAUGGACCAGGGGGAAGUCAGGCUCAACCAGACUGUUCACGGGCAUAUGGUCUGAGAUGAUCCAUCAUGGUCUAUGAUGUCAGAUUAUCCACUGAGACUUGGGACUCUGCAGAAAUAUAGUUCUGUUCAGAUAAUGGUAUUUCCAGUUGUUGUGAUGGACAAGACCGACGCUGUGGAAAACAGACUGGUAGGAUACCAGAUGACAGACGCACAAGGCAGGCAGAAGAACAAGGCAUUGUGAACUGAGCCGUAGGUGAGUUUUGCAGUGCCUUCCUCCACUGCAUUUCUCAGCAGUCAGCAUUGGUUACCAUCCCAAACCCCAUAGUCAACCAGUCCACAGACACACAGCCUUUGGUGUGGUAAGUUCCUGGCCACUGUCGUGAUGAUUACCCAAGCUUCCACAGGCUCUUCCCGCUGUGCAUCCCCCUCCUGCUACUCUUGUCUCGCUUCAUAAACCUGAAAGGCCAUGUAAAGGGCUGCUUUCAGCCCCUUCCUCCCUGUGGUUAACAGCUCCAAUCAUUUACUCUUCCUCUGCAUCGUUUGUUUUGUUUUUCCUGUCUUUAACUCAUUCUCUUUAUAUUUUUUCUGGAAUAUUCUCCUAAAUCCCCUAUAUUCUGCCCUGAAUAUUUUGCCUUCCAAUACUGAAGCAAGAAAAAAUGAGAGACCUGGAAGGACUUGUGGGCAGGGGAAAGAAUAAGAUCAAAAUAGACUGCAGGAAAACAAUAAAAAUAAUUCUAAAAUGUAAUUUAAAAAGAACAAUCAGAACCUACCCCUAUGGAACUCCAUUAUUUUACCUACAUGUAUAAUGUAUAUCACAUGUGAACACUGUAUACAUCCACUGACUUUAGCAGGGUACUGUGUAGACAAAGAAGCAAAAUGACACCAUGGAAAUAUGGUCUUUGAGACCAAGAUGACUUAGAUUUAAAUGGCUGAUUUGCUGUUUACCGAGUGUUUGAGCCUUGGAAGUAUUAUGACUUAACCUCUAGGUUCCUAUGGUUCCUUUGUUUAUCCUACGAGUGAGCUGUAAAACUUAUCAUCAUAUUGGCAUACAGGCAACCAAUGUUUGGAGCCCAUCAUGUCUGUCAUUUCUAUGAUUAAUCAACUCCUUCACAUGCCUGUUUUUUAAGCUGCAGAUCUUUUUGUGGAUACAUAAUCCAUAUUGUAUUAAUACAGAAUCUCAAUCAUAUUAAAAUUUGUUUAAAUGAAUGAGUUUUGAAGGCACUUUUCAGGGUCCAUAGACAUAGUAAACAGACAGAAUCAAUGUCAAUUAAAAAUCCAGAAGUGUCUCACCUUGCUUGGCCCCUGUUUCUCAGAGACCACCCCCACUGAUCACUUUUCCAUUCCAAUUCCAAGUUUUCCUUUUCUGUCUUGGGUGAAAAGUUGAGUGAUAGAAGUUGGGAUGUAGGUCUGAAAACCUCAGGAAAUGGUUAAGUUUACUUUCCUUCUUAAAUGUAUAUUUUAACAUUUUAACAGAGGACAUUGUUAAAAAACCAAGCUGCUCUUCUGACUCCUAAGAAUGGUGAUUUCUUGGCAGAUCUAUAUGUUGUUUUCCACCCUAGACUAGCAACUCAAUCUCCAAGGAAGAACACAAGGAAUCAGGUUUUAACAGGGACAUCAUCACUGGGCCAGCUGGAAAGCCUGAUCUAAAUCAAUCACAAGAUAAUAUAUCUGAACACCAUCCUGCCUAUGUGAAGUUUGUAUGCAACAAACAGGAUUAAUUUAACUCCUCAGGGAGUUUAGAUUCCCUUCGCAAAUUAUAUGCAACACAUAUAUGUAUGUGUACUAUGUGUAGUGUGUAUAUUUAUGUGGUAGUACCCAUGUACAUACUCAGCUGUACUUUUCAGGGUUUCAGUUAUCCAUGGUCAACCAUAGACAGAAUGCAUUCAAUGGAAAGUUUUAAGAUAAACACCUCAUGCGUCUUCAGUAACUUUCAUGGGACUGUAUAUUUAUGACUAUUCUUUCUUGCCAUCAUCUAUUACUGUUAAUCUCUUACUGUGCAUAAUUUAUAAAGUUCACAAUUGGAGUGUAUAUAUAAAGCAAACAUCACAUCUAGAGGACGUGGGUAUCAUUUGUGCUUUCAAGUGUCCACUUAGAAAAUGCCUAUGAAGACACAUAAGUAAGAAGAGAUCACUGUGUAUGCGCAUAGGAUUAGACAUAUAUACACACACAUACUCAUACAUACACAUUAAAAAUGAUAAACUAUCAUACAGCUUCACUGCUGAAAGAAAUAGGGCAAUAGGAGCAAAAUACACAAGAAAAAAAAAGAUCCCCCAAAAGUUAGGAUCUUUUUCUUGGAGGAAAACAGCUGUUUCUUAGAGAAGUUUAUACAGGCAUUUUCAGUACUACUUAUGGAUAUAUUCAAAUAGCCACAUGAGUCAAAUAAAUUGUAUAGCAAACCUCCCCCCCUAUACCUGUCACUGAUUUUGAAUAUGACUUGCCCACCACCCACCCUUCCCGGUGCUCCUCCUGGAAACCUUUUAAAGCAGGCCACAGAAGCCCUGUACUGGCCACAUGUUUAUUACACUUCUAGGGCAGGAUCACAGGAAUGUUUACUUCAUUUCUACACCUGCCCUGUAGAAGGAGUGCAGACCACAAACCACGGUUCAAGUAGCACUGUGUCAAAGCUCAUGCCAAAGGGCUAGGGUGUAGCUCAGUAGUAGAGCUAGUAUUGCCUAGCAUGUGUGGGAACCCGCAUUUGAUCCCCAGUCCUGGAAAAUUAAAGAAGUAAAUAAAUGAAUAGGCUCAGCAGGGGCUGUGGUGAAGAGGAUUCCAAGCAAGAAACAAGUGACAAGAAAAUGAAAAAGCUCCCCUGGGAAGAACUAACUUCACUACAGGAAUCUGAACUAUGCCAGGUAUGCUGUGUGUUCACUUCUUUUUUAAUGGCUGUUAUCAUUGUGGCAAGAUGACACCCUCACUUUCCAAUGUAUAGAUGAGGAGACAGAGGUUCUAAGAAGAGAGCAACCUACACAGAGUCUUCUAACUAAAACUGUCAGCCUCUCUCUUGGUAACCCUCCAGAAAUUUAUGGUAGGACUAUGUUUCUUAAUUCUAUAUAUUGAAUCAUAGAACAGGGAGAAGUCAAGUUGGUAUCUGAAAACUUCCCCUUAAUGACUAGUUUUCAUACUGUUGGAAGGUGCCAUGCACACUGCUGGAGGAGAAAAUUAGAUUGAUUUUAUCUGGGUAUGAACCUAGAGAACUAUGAUACUGACCAGCCUGGCAAAAGGAUGCCUGCUAGCACAAUAGUGGCACAAAAAAACAUGGAAGUAAACAACCAUUUUCUGGUUGGAUUUAAGGCUCAUUCUACAAAAUAAAACCCUUACAUGGCAUUGCUAUAGGGGUCAAGAAUCUAUGGCUAGAUAGGCCAUAGGCCCUAGAGGGACCUGCUAACAUUAUUCUGCUAAUGAAACAUAUAUUAAACCAAAUUCUAUCAGUUUAUUGUUAUAUCCACGGACUAGUGCAUCUCUCAAGCCUCCUCAGAAGAAAUGCUUUUCACAACAGAAAGCAAUCACAGAGAUCCCACUAUAUGACUGGUUAGGGCAUAAAGAAUGAGGGACUACAAAAUGCAGAAUUUUAAAAGGCAUCUAUAUUGCAUCCCCUCCUCCUCCAAGGCUCUGGGAUCACUUUAGAAGUGGGGAAGAAAGACUGUAAGAGUCAGUGGUUGUGAAUGACUACAAAGAAAGUGUUUUUUGCUGGCACAGGUUGGAAGUUGAAUAGAUACAAAUACACUAUUUGUAGUUACAGUGUGUGCACGACCUGCACAAGUUCAACCUAGACUAAGUCCCAGAAUAAAGAAGGGUUGUGGUCAUCAAGACUCACCUCUAGCUCAAGAACUAUUGGCAAAUGACAGUUUCUGGGAGAGGGAGUUUUGUUGAAGGGUGUGGCCCUUGGUAGGCAGACCAUACUCAAACGGAAGGUCACACAUUCAAAAAUAGUGUGGGCAGUCAAAUUAGACUUGAUGGGUAUAAUAAUAAUAGUAAUAAUAAUAAUAAUAAUAAUAAUAAUAAUAAUAAAGUUGGGUGGUUAAGGAAGGGGGAAUAUAUCUUGGAGUAGCUGGGGAUGAGGUGAAUAUGAUCAAAAUACAUUGUAUGAUCUUGUCAAAGAACUAAAAUGAAUGAGAAAAUUAAUUAUUUAUUCUUUGAAAAUUUCAUAGAUUUGUACAAGGUAUUUUGACUAUAUCCACUCACCACUUCCUCCUUUCAACUUCCUCUAGUUCUCCCCACCCUAUCUCUUUCCUGUCUCUGUGUCCUCUUUUAUUUUUUAAUGUCAUUGAUAACCUCAUGAGUUCAAUUGAUAAUGCCCGUAGUCACACAGGAAGGACCAUCUCCUGGAUCGUAGGCAAAUAAAUCAUCAGUAGCCGUGUUCCAAAGUUGAGGAUGAAGGCCUGGAAGCAGAGUUGGUGGAAUGCACCCAGGUGGGGACACAGUGUGUAAGGAGAAUAGUGUGCCUUAGACAUAGCAGCCACCAAUGAGAGUCAUGAAAACUAAAGUGGAUAAAGCGAUUAAAUCCUAAGAGAGCCAGGUAACAUAUGAUAGGGAAGUUGCUCACAUAAUCUCAAUAAGAUGGUUGCCUAAACAGGCAUAAUGACAAUACCAGUUGAAACACCAACAGGGAUGGGAAAAAUUGCACACCAGGUCCUAUCCUUAGAUAGAAAAUCAGACCUCUAUAGGGAAAAGUACACUCAUGGGUUAUCCAAUCUGAAGUUGUCAGCCCUAAAUAGAUGUACAUAGGCACAAUACUAAAUAGACUCAGUGUGUUUAUGUAUGUAUGUGUUUUCUCUCUCUCUCUCUCUCUCUCUCUCUCUCUCUCUCUCUUUGUGUGUGUGUGUGUGUGUGUGUGUGUGUAUGUGUGUAAGAAUGGAAAUUAAAGAUGAGGUCAUGGAUUUGAGAGUGGAGACAUAGGAGGAGUUGGAGGGGUAAAUAGGGAGCAGGAAUGAUGUAAAUAUAGUGUUCAUAUAUGAAUUUUUUAAUUUUUAAAAACAUUAAAAAUUUAAAUCAAAUUAAAAAACCGAAGUCCCAAUUUUCCAAUGGUUUAAGAUAAUAAGCACUAAAUACUUCCCCAUCACAAAAUCAAACAACAAAAUCACUUUUCAUCACAAAGUGCUUUAGUCUAACUGACAUUUAUGGAGCCCGCAUUCACUCACUCCGUCAUGAUAUUUUUCUGUUGGCUUAUCAUUUACACAUGAAUCUACUGAUAUUUUCAUUAUCAUCUGCCCCCCAUAUCCUCUUAGUCAGCAUCCCACUGACCACUCAGUGUGGCAGUUCCUGGUGGGUUUAAAUUAAAUCUCCAUUCUUCUAUUUAUCAAUAAGACUCAGAGGUCAAAGGCUCUGGUGAAAACCGGCUAGCUCAGAAAGACUGAGUUGCUUUUUGGCCUGAGACACUACAAGAUACAUGUCUCUUCUCUGUCCCAGAACCAAGAGAGCCCAAAUUCUAGUCCCCACCCUUUCUGUCCUGUGCAUCUUCUCUAUCCAAAUCGCUGGCUUUUCUAUGGCCAGUUCUGGUCAGCUAGUCAUUGGCUCCACCCUCUGAUUCAGGGUAUCUCUUUUGGGCAGUCUCGGAAUGUCAGAGUGCAAUCAAUAUAUCUCACACUAACACAAGUUGCCCCCAUAUUGAGGAGGAAAUCAAAGCUACAGGUUCCAGCAGAAAGUAAGGGGUAAAAGAGAAGGUGCACCCCUUCCUUAGAGACUGGCUCUGUUAAUACCUACCUGGCAAACCUAGAUGCAGGUUCCAGCACAGGUAGGUGGGGGAUUAUAGGUCCCAGUGGGGUAGCUCCCCAAAUUAUGAGUGGGGAACAUAUGUUUAAAUUGCCCCCAGUUGCCUUAGCACCAGGUCCCUCAAAGAUGGUCUUAGUGUAAGGAGAAGGUAACAGGGCAUCUUAAGGUGAGCACAUGGGCCUCAGGUUUUGUGCAAGGGAAUCAUGUUACUAAGUAUAUUCACCUUAGAAAAAUAUGGCAGCAGUGGGAUAAUUCUGAAGGAUGAAAGCAACACAGUAAGAAAGAAAAAGCAACUGUGCCAACAGCAAGGCAAGAGCUGAAGAUGGGUGAAAGCAUGGAGGUGACAAGUUUGCAGACAGAGAUCAUAGGCAGGUUCAAAGGCAGGGAUGACUGGACCAGGGGACAGGAAGACAGGAAGAGCUUACAUAGACAACGGUGGUCUCCAUACCAAAAGGUGAUCAGCAUAUUGACUUCACCUGGGUGAGGCAUGUCCCCAGAGAGCUUUCCUCCUGACUCAUGGUUGCAGAGACAUGAGCCUAAGCCGGAAAGAAGGGGACAUAAGACAUUCGGCUCCGUUUGAUUUGGAUGGAGUCAGAAAAGCAACAUGGAACCUCUGACUUUCCAGGGAGAUUUUCCUGGAUAUGUCCCCAAACACAGUGUCCAUCCAGGCUCCAUUCACAUCUGCAGCAGCUGGACCUCAAGAGCCUGCUGGUGUGCUCUACACCCAUGCACUUGCCAGCAGUGGCCUGAGUUGCCAUCACAGCUGUUUUCACAGGUUUUGUUUGGGAACUCAGUGUGGGGCUUGGGAACAGCUGGGAGUUUCUGAGUAAUUGCAUACCCUGGGGGUGGAGGAAGGCCAAGUACAACAGCGUGUCCUCAGGACCCAUGACAGGGCAGUGUAGGAAAUCAGGUGAGAUGGCUCCUAAGAGUGGAGUUCCAGCCAUGGGGGUGGAGCUUGAAGCUCAGCCCAGAGGCAGAGACAGCAGUCCCUACAACACAAAGUAAGGCACCCCAGAGCCCUACCACACCCAAGGGUCACCUACUACUUCAAGGAAAUGUGGGUAUUUUAAAUGCAUAUUAGUAUCUCCCCUUUGCUAUGCUAGAACUACACAACUUGAAAGUCAAGUAGAAAGAAAAUGGAUGAUCUCCUUUGCUGUAAAAUGUGUUUUUGCUUUAAGAUUCAGAUCAAAUAUCAGCUUUGAAGCUUUCUUUAGCUUUCUUUGACCUUGUUCCUCUCUUCACUCCAGGAAGAUUGAUUGUCCGUUCUCUACAUCCAUGCCUAUUCUACCACCAGUGUAAAAUGUAAUCAUCUCCACUCAACUGGUCCAUGCUAAUUCAUUACUCACUGGGCUCUGGGGCCCUGAGGGUAUACUAGAGAGGAAAUGGGAGGCAGUCUUCUCUGUGGAUGUGAGGUAUCUCUGGCAGGGAUUAGACAUCUCACUCAGGUUGAUGGAAUCAAAUUUAAUCCACCCAAGGAUUUUGCACGCACAUUGGAAAUUUCCAAGAGAUAGGUCAAAAUAGCAAUCUACAAGCACAUUUGAAAACCUAACCUUUUAUUUGCUUUCCCAGGAGAAGGCCUUGGAAUACUUGACUCCGUUAGAUGUCAUUUGAAGUUGUCAGUAAGCCACUUCAUUGAAUGACAUGAUGUGUCCCUCCCCUAUCAUUAAAUUAUGAAUACACUCCACUGCCAAGCAAUGUGAGAUCUCAGGACUACAACAUGUUCCCCAAAAUAUAUCACUGUUAUCAAGGAGAAACCUUCUCUAAUACAAUAAAGAAAGGUAUGGUGCCAAAAAUAGUUUCAUUCUAGUAGAACCUUGUUCGUGGAGACCUGUUGCUCAAGGGGAUGUUAGCAUGCUCUAAAUCUCGAUUCUUCUCACUUCUGCAUCAAUAAAAUGCAAAUUCUCCUCUCAUCAUAAUUCUCAACUGUACCCAGAUUCCAAGAUCUUAUCCAUGACCCAACUUUGAAAAUCAGGUUUAGCACAACUUAUUCCCUGGCUUAGACCCUCUGUGAUCCUCUUAUUUUUAAAUCAGGAAUAAAAAAAGACAGCUUUUUGUGACCAGACAGCCAAGAAUCCCAGGUGGGAUUCGCUCCAAGAAGAGCACAUGCAUCUGUCAAGAUCCUGAAAAAUGGUUCCUCUUCAAAUCCUAAUUUUUUUCUUUAAGAGAAAAUAUAUAGAAACCACAAACAUAUUUGUAUCGUUGCCAUCCCAUGCCUUCAUUCUUGGAGGAAGUGUUGGAUUUUCUUGUUCUUUGGCUCUUUGGCUCAGAAAGCAAGGAGUGACAUCAGCGAGCUGAAACUACAAGUUCUACCACCCUUUCCGUGUUAAACUACGAUGUUUACUUCUCCGAGGGUUGGCCAAGAAAGUCCAUUUGGGCUGGAACGCCACAUAUUUAGUCUCAGAAUUAAGAAAGAACUAGGAGUGAAAUGGAACUGUAAAGUGUCUGCCCUUGAGGAUGCAUCAAUGAGAACAUAAUAAACAGAUGUCAAGUAUCCCUUGAAGACUACCCAGAAAGCUCUUGUCCAAACUGUUUCUUCUACUCACUCACUGCUGAUGCCUGAAAUCCCACCACUAACCAUAUGCUUCUUCAGGAAGGAUGCUAGAUGCCUGGUGAAGAUAAUCAACAUGGUUUUCUCCUCAAAUGCCCCAUUUGCAGCAUGAAUUGGUUAAUCUUCCAUCAGAGUACAGAUGGAGUCCACUUCCCAUUACUGUGCAUCUGGAUAGGUUUCAUGAUUGACUUUGUCCAAUAGAAUGCAUCAGAGGUGACUUUGGUGACUUCUGAGACUAGGUCUGAAGAGGUAUUACUGUUUCCUCCACUUUGGAUGCUACACUGAGUCUGCUGCAUAAGAAAUCUGGUCCAAACUACUAGAAGAUGAAAGGGCAUAUGGAAGACAACAAGGGCCCUCCAACCAAGAGCCAACAUCAGCUUCUGAAGCAGUGAGUAAGGCCAUCCUGGGUCUUUCCAUCCCUGUUGCUUCUCCAGCUGAAAGCAGUGACAUGAUCAAGUCCAAGGAAAGCAAAGGAGAGGCUGUUGAGCCAACCCACAGAAUUUUGAGAAAUAACAUUAUUUUUAAGCAGAGCCUAACUGAGCAAGGAAAGCAGACAAGAUUACUUCUAAGAUGCUGUCUACUCAUGAUUCCAAAGCCUCUGUGUAAUGCUAUUGUAAAAAUAUUUUACUAUAGUGAUAGCAAAAUAGAGCAAUAUUCAGAGAAGCAUCUACCAUUGAUUUUGCAAAGAAACUACAUACAGAGGAGAAGCGAGUCACCCAAGUUUGUCAUGAAGUGUUAUAUUGUAGAGCUGAGGAUGUGGUUUUGUUGAUAGGAAUGGCUUUUCUAGCAUUCACAAAGCCAUGGGUUCAAUUCCCAGACUGUAUAUAACUGACCAUGGUGGUAUGAUGGUGCAUGUUUAUAAUCCCAGCACUCAGAGGUGGAGUCAAGAAGACUGACAGUUCAAGUCAUUUUCCACUAUAUGACUAAUUUAAGUCCAGUCUAUGCUGCCUAAGACCUUCUCUCCAACAAAUUAAACUUAAAAUGGUAGAUUUUACAGCAUAGAACCUGACAGAGAGGAACACAAAUCCUGGCCCAUGAUCCAUACCUUCUUAACAGUUUCUCCACACACCUAAAAGAAUGGGUUGGACUGUUUCAUGAAUAGAGAUGCACUCCAUUGUGAAGUUAGCCAGGUCUACACAGAGAAAGGCCCCAAGAAACAGCCCAUUCUAGUGGACUACCCUUCCUAUUGAAUGACACUGACUCUUUCAUGCUUGUUUGGGACCAUGUUCAAAUGUGCAGACUUCAGCUGAAAUCAAGAGAGACUGAAACAGUCAGCCACACUUCAAAUAUUUAUUUUGUAUUCUAACAAUCAAUUUCUCAUCUCUCCUCCCAAUCUUUUUCCACCUGUUUGCAGAAAUAAUUACUAGUGCCCAAUUAUGAGCUCUCUGCCACUUUUCUCUCUGCAUUUCUGAAAGCACUCAGGAAAACUCUUCUCCUGAAGCGUAAGCCAUUACUAACAUAUCGUGGCGUCUGGCGUUGAUGUAGAGCCAAACUGGGAACUUCUGGGUUGGUCUUGGAUUGAGCUGAGGGGAGUUAAAUGUUUGGGGCAGGGGUGGAGUGGGGCUCCAACAAAAUGGCAAAAGUUAACUUCAAAAUGAAUGUCAGAAGAAAGAAUUAGAAGAGACAAUUAAAUAAACACCUGAGUGGAAAUUCCAGGGCUGGUGCCAUCGGCAGAGCAUGCAACACCCAUUUUAGACACAUUCUAAAGACAGUUUCAAUAAGGCAUCUGAGAAGGUGAAUCGAAUAAAUUCCAAAUCUUCAGAACAGGGUGGUUGCUAUGUGGCUUCCUAUGAGUGGACUAUUAAAUGAACUUUAAGGGGAAAAAAAUAAAACCUAGCAGUUUCUCCUGUCAUCGCCCAAUGAAAAAGAAGAGGAAAAGAAUCAGUUAGCCAGCAGAAUGACAUUCAGAUGUUGAAAGGGUGAAACCUGAGCAACACUUCGAAACCUUUGCUAGAAAACAAGAAGCUAGUGUUGAAAGUGAAGACACAAAGGCAAGCACUCUCCGAGGUUUAGCACACAGGCUGUGCCCACACUCUGAUUGGCAUGGACAAUUUGCCUAAGAAAACACAGCGGCCAGAUUCCAGCUAGCACCUUCUCACCUCCAUUUAUAACUGUAAGUGGCAAGGGUGAAGUUGAAAGGGAGAUGAUGGCCAGAACCUUCUCACAUACCUGCUGCUGCCAGCAUAUCUAGAACCAAUGGUUACCUAAGCCUCUCAUUUCAUUCCAACAUGUCUCAACCUACAAAGCAGGUCACACCCACAGAACUGUAGAAGAUUCACUAGCAUACUAGAAUGUCUUUGGUGUCUAGCAUACGUCAAAGACAAUGCAAGUGCUAAGAACAAAAGCCGGCAUCCACCAUCUAUCUAAGACCCAAUCAAUAUUGAUGACUAAGAGUGUUUAGUUUGGAAUAAAUAGCAUGUACAACUGUAGAUGAGACCCAGAUGAUGGAGAGAGCAUUGCAACUAAAAAUGAGAAGACAUGACAAGUUUAGUGAUCUAAUGAUUCCUUAAAAAAAAUUAAGUAUCACUUAAACUCUGGGAAGUCAGUCUCCUGACCCCGAAGCAAGAUAGCUCUACUGCAUGAUGCCUCCAAAGCCCCCUGAAGGUUUGCUGAAGAAAAGGUUGAGCAUCACCCCCUUUUUUGAGCAUCUCUUCUAAUCUACCGCAACUGCUGUAGUCUUCAUCCAAACCACAGUAGAGUUUAGAUAAAAUGAAUUGAACUCUGUCUGACUUUGGGACAAACUGGAUAUGGCUAAGUGUUUGCUAUAUGUUAGCAGAAAUAAAUUCAUUGAAACAAUUCUUGUUCAAGAGGUCAGAAGAUGGGAGGAUAUAGUGAUGCUCUGAUAUCACACAUGCACUCAAGGUUAAAAUAAGAAUCUACCAUAAUUUCUCAGCUUCUUCAUAAUGUGCUCCAUGCCUUUCUCCAAAGUUUUAUCCUGAAAUUAUUAUCCUAAAUUAUUAUCUUAAAAAUCACAUAUUACCUUUUAAUUUUCAUGGAAGAGUAAUCAAAAUAAUCAGUAUAAUUUUGUAGUGUAUUUAAGUAUAGAAAAAUUAAAUGUUAGCUUUUCAUUCAUCUGACAUAAGUGGUGUCCACUGAAAUGUGACUUGAUUUUACUAACUGGAACAUAAAAGUUGUAAGCAUGAAUGGUAUUAAAGCAAACAUCUCACCAACAUUCGACCCUUGGCUCCCUGGGAAAAGAGGUAAUUGGACUCCUCUAGAAAACUCUGGUACAGCAAAUAAAUGUUAUUUAGAACUAUGUCAUUUCGUCUAUUUCUUUUUAUCUUGUUAAAUUCAAAUAAAAUUAAAAUUGUCCCAUGAGGGAUUAGUUUUUAAACUUUCAUAAUAUAAUUCUUCAUACUAUUUUUUAGUGUCUAAAUUUUCUAACAUAAAAUUGUAUUUCUUUCAACAUAACAAAAAUUAACACUUUAUGCCAGGCAAUGGAGGUACAGUCCUUUAAUCCAAGCACUGGGGAGUCAGAGAGGUGGUUGGAUCUCUGUGAGUUCAAGGCCAUCUUGGUCUACAAAGUGAAUUCCAGGACAUCCAGGGCUACACAGAGAACCCUUGUCUCAGAAAAAAUGGCAUGUAUUUAUUGUUAGUUGUGUGUGUUUGUGUCACCACCCAUGUGUGGAGAUUCGAGAACAACUUGCAAGCAUUGGUUCCCUUCUUCCAUAUGUGGGCUCCACAGAUGGAGCCCAGGUCUUCAGCCUACAAAUCAAGUGCUUUUACCUGAUGGUCCACUCCACUCAAUCCUAAAAUAACAUAUUUUAACAUUGGUGCAGGAUUCAGGUAAAUCCAUACAUUUUCUCCAUCAUUCUAGCUAAGGGCAUCUCUUCCAGGAAUAGUAAAGCUGCCAAGAUAGUGUUCCCUCCUGAGAAAAUUUCCUUACAAGCUAGGAAUUAGAAAGACCCACAGAUGAGAUGAAGCUGGGAUACAGUUAAUGCCAUGCAGGACUCUUAAAAUGAAUAAACUGAGGACAAGGAAGAUGUUGGGGCUCUGGGACCUCAGUGUGGCAACACCACCUCUGCCUGCAUUCAUUAAUUAUACAACAUGAACUAAAAGUUAUGGACCUGCCAGGCUAUUGCACAGACUAAAGUGGUGACUGAGAUGCCAU
ensembl:lncRNA